UGCAAGUCGAGCGGUAGCACAGAGAGCUUGCUCUCGGGUGACGAGCGGCGGACGGGUGAGUAAUGUCUGGGAAACUGCCUGAUGGAGGGGGAUAACUACUGGAAACGGUAGCUAAUACCGCAUAAUGUCGCAAGACCAAAGUGGGGGACCUUCGGGCCUCAUGCCAUCAGAUGUGCCCAGAUGGGAUUAGCUAGUAGGUGGGGUAACGGCUCACCUAGGCGACGAUCCCUAGCUGGUCUGAGAGGAUGACCAGCCACACUGGAACUGAGACACGGUCCAGACUCCUACGGGAGGCAGCAGUGGGGAAUAUUGCACAAUGGGCGCAAGCCUGAUGCAGCCAUGCCGCGUGUGUGAAGAAGGCCUUCGGGUUGUAAAGCACUUUCAGCGGGGAGGAAGGCGAUAAGGUUAAUAACCUUGUCGAUUGACGUUACCCGCAGAAGAAGCACCGGCUAACUCCGUGCCAGCAGCCGCGGUAAUACGGAGGGUGCAAGCGUUAAUCGGAAUUACUGGGCGUAAAGCGCACGCAGGCGGUCUGUCAAGUCGGAUGUGAAAUCCCCGGGCUCAACCUGGGAACUGCAUUCGAAACUGGCAGGCUAGAGUCUUGUAGAGGGGGGUAGAAUUCCAGGUGUAGCGGUGAAAUGCGUAGAGAUCUGGAGGAAUACCGGUGGCGAAGGCGGCCCCCUGGACAAAGACUGACGCUCAGGUGCGAAAGCGUGGGGAGCAAACAGGAUUAGAUACCCUGGUAGUCCACGCCGUAAACGAUGUCGAUUUGGAGGUUGUGCCCUUGAGGCGUGGCUUCCGGAGCUAACGCGUUAAAUCGACCGCCUGGGGAGUACGGCCGCAAGGUUAAAACUCAAAUGAAUUGACGGGGGCCCGCACAAGCGGUGGAGCAUGUGGUUUAAUUCGAUGCAACGCGAAGAACCUUACCUGGUCUUGACAUCCACAGAACUUUCCAGAGAUGGAUUGGUGCCUUCGGGAACUGUGAGACAGGUGCUGCAUGGCUGUCGUCAGCUCGUGUUGUGAAAUGUUGGGUUAAGUCCCGCAACGAGCGCAACCCUUAUCCUUUGUUGCCAGCGGUUMGGCCGGGAACUCAAAGGAGACUGCCAGUGAUAAACUGGAGGAAGGUGGGGAUGACGUCAAGUCAUCAUGGCCCUUACGACCAGGGCUACACACGUGCUACAAUGGCAUAUACAAAGAGAAGCGACCUCGCGAGAGCAAGCGGACCUCAUAAAGUAUGUCGUAGUCCGGAUUGGAGUCUGCAACUCGACUCCAUGAAGUCGGAAUCGCUAGUAAUCGUAGAUCAGAAUGCUACGGUGAAUACGUUCCCGGGCCUUGUACACACCGCCCGUCACACCAUGGGAGUGGGUUGCAAAAGAAGUAGGU
rnacentral:rRNA from 1 species